AUACUUACCUGCCAGGGGAAAUACCAUGAUCAGGAAAGUGCUUUUCCCAAGGGCGAGGCUUAUCCAUUGCACUGUGGAUGUGCUGACCCCUGCAAUUUCCCCAAAUGAGGGAAAAUUGACUGCAUAAUUUGUGGUAGUCGGGGACUGCGUUCAGGCUCUCCGA